rnacentral:rRNA from 1 species
CCCCUAGACGUUCUGGGCUGCACGCGCGCUACAAUAAUACGCACAGCGAGUAUCACCGAGCUCGAAAGGGCAAGGUAAACAAUAGAAAAGGUACUGUAAUGGUUAUAGAUCCUUGUAAUUAUUGAUCUUCAACGAGGAAUUCCUAGUAAGUAUGUGUCAUCAUCACGCACUGAUUACGUCCCUGCCCUUUGUACACACCGCCCGUCGCUCCCACCGAUUGAGUGAGCCGAUGAAACUGCCGGAUGUGGACUAUUCAUAGUCUGCAGAAGAUAUUUGAAUCGUAGCGCUUAGAGGAAGGAGAAGUCGUAACA